GUUUCUCUUCAUUUAGGUCUAUUUUUUCUCUUCUCUUAAAAGGAAAAAAAAAAGAACUACCCCUAUCUAUCUGGGGGCCGCGGGUCGGGGCAGAGGCCAAGGCACUCUGGAGGCCUUGGCCAGCUGGCUGCUCCAGGCCGCUGUGGGAGCCCAGAGGCAGGGACCCCACGGAGGCGGGUAGCAGCCCGCUUGUUAGUGACUGGGUGGGAGUGGGACCUGAUUUAUGGGCUGCUCCCCUAGCUGGCCUGCAGCCUGGCCUCUCCCCCCUUGAAUGGCUUCCUCCCUGGGACCUGGCCUGGCGUGGUUCGGCUCUGUCCAGACAUGGGAGUGGAAUCGGGGCAGGCAGUGUGGAGACAGGGGCCUGGAUAACCCGACCAGGUGGGCUGACAAGAUGGACCAGGUGGUCCAGGAGGCUUUGGUCUGGUCCUUCACUCUUCCCGAAGACGAAGAAAGGAACAGCAGGGCAGAGGCCUCUGGACAUGCUGUUGAUCCUGCUACCGGAUCUGACCUCCUCUUGGCCUGGGGACCUGCUUCCAGGGCCACCUUCAAUACCACUCCCCUGGGAAGCUCCUCUGGACUCUCCCCAGCACAAGCCACUCCCUCCCUAGGCCUUUCCUCUGACAUCGCUAAGGUCCACGUGCCUCUCCCAACAGACUCCACCCCUCAGAUGUACCACUUGGUGGCCGGCUGGUCAUGGGUGAGUCCCUUUACCCUUUGAAGCUGUAGUUUCUUUGUUUAUAAAAAGGAAGACAUCAUCCUCGAAGUUGAGGAAGGCCUGGUUCAAGAAAAGCCAACACUGCCUGGCCUACAGAGCAAGGACUGCAGUCAGAGCUGCUCCACCGGGUCACGAAGUUCUGAGAAUUGUUAUCUUCUGCCAGUGCCUUAGCCAUGGAAAUCGAUGUGGGCAUCAGCACGAGCAGGGGCACCUCAGGAUAUCCCACUUCCCCCCCUCAGAGCCCCAGACAAGCUUCAUAGCCAGAUGCGUGUGCAGGAUUCACAUUUAUUGGUUCAAUACAGUACCUAAUACUUGCUAAACAUGCAUUUCACACUAAUUAGUCACAUUUCCACAGGUAGUCAAUUCACAGAACAGGGCCCAUCCCUUGCCAGCAGGCAGGUGUGGGAGGUAGCAGAGGGCCUGAGUAGCCUGCAGAACCCGCCAACUACCAUUUGGUCAUGCAGGGUAGAUGGAGCCAGGCUGGCAGGCAGCCCUUGGCCGGCCCUUUGGGAACAAGGGCUCAGAGACAUCCUGUUCACCCGAUUCCUCCCCAGGACUGUGAGUGGAGGUGGACCCGGGUGGGCAGCCCAGGGCAGGCUCUCGAUGCAGGUGCCAUCAGAGCCCCCAAGGGUAGUGCUGUGGGAGGCAUUGCUCCCCAUGCCUGGAGCUCAGGAGGGAGCUCUUCAAGGGGGUGGCCUGCCCCUCACUGGGCAUGUGGGAAGGACUCCCCAGACACAGCCAGACAUUACAAUGCAGCCACAAGCCCCUAUCGCAGGCCUGGGAUGGCAACACAGACAAAAACACCAACACCCCAGGGCAGGCAGGGUUUCUUUCCCGACAGAAACAUGUAAACAUCGCGGGAGCUGCAGUAUUCUUUUCCCACAGGAUUCCUCUGAGAGGAAUCAACCAGGAUGUUACUUGAGAGGUAGUUUUUUUUUUUUUUUUCAUGGAAAUUU